AAGUCGUAACAAGGUUUCCGUAGGUGAACCUGCGGAAGGAUCAUUGUCGAACCCUGCAAAGCAGAACGACCCGUGAACAUGUAACAACAACCUGUGUCGGGUGUAUCGAGCAUUUGUUCGAGCCACCUGAUGCUUUGCCGAUGUGCGUUCUUUGUGCCAUUUUGGCACUUGUGGAUGUCGCAACGGCACACUAACAAACCCCGGCACGGAACGUGCCAAGGAAAACUAAACUUAAGAAGGGCUCUUUCCAUGUUGCCUCGUUCGCGAUGUGCUCAUGGGAUGUGGCUGCUUUGUAAUUACAAACGACUCUCGGCAACGGAUAUCUUGGCUCACGCAUCGAUGAAGAACGUAGCAAAAUGCGAUACUUGGUGUGAAUUGCAGAAUCCCGUGAACCAUCGAGUUUUUGAACGCAAGUUGCGCCCGAAGCCUUUUGGUCGAGGGCACGUCUGCCUGGGCGUCACGCAUCGCGUCGCCCCCGACUCACCAUCCCCUAUCAAGGAUUGUGAUUCGGGGGCGGAGAUUGGACUCCCGUGCCCAUGGUGCGGUUGUCCAAAAUAGGAGUCCCCUUCGAUGGACGCACGAUUAGUGGUGGUCGUCAAAACCCUCGUCUUGUGUCGUGCGUUAUAAGUCGCAAGGGAAGAACUCUUCAAGAACCCCAACGUGUUGUCUUGUGACGACGCUCGACCGCGACCCCAGGUCAGGCGGGACUACCCGCUGAGUUUAA
rnacentral:rRNA from 1 species